CACGUAGGGCGCAAGCGUUGUCCGGAAUUAUUGGGCGUAAAGGGCGCGUAGGCGGCCAUGCGUGUCUUCCGUGAAAUCCCUCGGCUUAACUGAGGACGUGCGGAAGAAACUGCAAGGCUUGAGUCCGGGAGAGGGGGGUGGAAUUCCCAGUGUAGCGGUGAAAUGCGUAGAUAUUGGGAGGAACACCGGUGGCGAAGGCGGCCCCCUGGACCGGUACUGACGCUGAGGCGCGAAAGCGUGGGUAGCAAACGGG
rnacentral:rRNA from 1 species